UCGACAUGCAGGCAACGGCUCUCCUAAUUUGAAAUUCACCUGUCGUCUUUCAUCCAGCGAAUUCAUCCUCGCACAACACUGAGAUGAAGGCGAAGUCACCAUGAAAAGUUAAACGUUUACCGUUAAGCUACAGUAAUUGAUGUUGAAAAAACUGAUGCAACCAAUCACUCCUCACUUGAUUAUUCAAGCUCAGAUUGUGAUGAACCUGGAAUGUGACACCAGUUACUCUUAAGACAAGAACCGAAUAAAGCACAGAUGUGGAGGGAUUUGCAGCCAAACUUACUGGAGGGAAGGAACCUUUAGUGUGGGUGAACAUACUCCCUGGAUGUCCAACAAAGGCUGCACAAGAGCUCAUUUGAUAGCACACAUUCUGUCCUGUCUACAUCUCUAAUGACCUGGAAGUGCUUCGACAUCAGAUCAUCAGAAGUGCUGCUGCCCUUUUUCACUGUCCCUUUCCACAUCAUUUGGCCUUCAUCAUGUCUUGUAGCAGUAUUUUCACCUGUUUUUAAAAUUGUAAUAAUUUUUGAUGUAUUAAUUGUUGACUGGUUUUAAUGAUCAAUUGUUUAUUAGUGUUCUGUUGCUUUAUAUUGAAUAAUUGCUACUGUUUUAGCAUGGUUUACACAAUAAACCUUUAUUGUG
ensembl:processed_transcript